rnacentral:tRNA from 1 species
GUGGGUGUAGCUCAGUCGGUUAGAGCACCUGGUUGUGGCCCAGGAGGCCGCGGGUUCAAUUCCCGUCACUCACCCCA